AAAAAGAAGAGCAAGGGAACACCUCUCAUUGUUCUUGUGGGUAAAGCUCAAAUAAAUUGUUGAGCGAUUUUCGUGGGUACCAAACUGUCAAGCAAAAGAUGAUAAAGAUGAAAUUGGAUAAUUAUUGGAGCGAAAAAUUCGGAUUAGUUAGGGAUCAAAGACUCCUAUUGAUAUACAUGGGGCUGGCGAAUUGGAGGGAGAUCUGAGUUUUAUUUUGGGGAUUUUCUGGGCUAGGUUUAGGGCAACAAAUUGAUGAGUUUCAUCUGGAUUAUUGCGAGGUACCUAGCGAGCAGGAAGGUAAGCAAACACGGACUAGUCAAGGCGACUCGGUUCACCUUGUGUUUACUCUGAUUCUCACUAGAAGAUAUGAAGCUCGAAGAAUCAAAGAUUAAGGGAAUUUGCAGCAAGGAACCAGGGACUUAUAAUUCAUCCUUUUUCUACUCUCCCUGUAGCCAAAAGGACUCGUGCUCAAAUACUGGAGCAAGCUCGUCAUAUUCCAUUACCUCACAGUGAAAGUUCAUUUUCGAACGAGGAGGGUGAAUAUAUUUUUGAGAUGGGUGAUCAAACACUAAAGCAGCUCGCAGCUCCAACAUUUGAUCCAAAUUUAUUGUGCAUAGUAGACUAUGAGGCAAAAAUUGAGAUCAAGCCGGGGUUGAUUAGUGCUCUUCCCACAUUUUCAUGUUUCCGUAAUACUAGCUCCUUGGGUUCAAUUCACAUGAAUAAGGCUAGCAGAUUUUUGAAGGAAUUUCACAUAGCAUGUGCGGGGAUGAAACCGGCUGAGGUCACCCUCGACCAACUCAAGUUAAAGGAAUUUCCUUUUGCCUUAUCUGAUGCUGCUAAGGAGUGGUUAUUUGAAGUACCUGCUGGAACCAUCACAACAUGGGAUCAAAUUCUAAAAGUAUUCGCAGAAAGAUAUUUUCCAGCAUCUUUAAUAGCCAAUAUCAGGAAAGAAAUAUGUGGAAUUCGACAGGACGAUGCAGAGACACUUCAUGAGUACUGGGAGCAUUUCAAGAAACUAUGUGAUAGCUGUCCAAACCAUCAGAUCAGUGAGCAAUUAUUAGUACAGUACUUUUACGAAGGACUUAGGGAGACAGACAGGAAUGUAGUUGAUGCAACAAGUGGUGGAGCACUGGUUGACAAAACACCCGUAGAUGCAAAGAAACUAAUUGCAAACAUGGCUGCAAACUCUUAGUAUCGAGGAGGUCGAAAUAUCAAAUCCACUUCUGUACGUCAAGUUAAUGAAGUGGUGAGUUCUAACCUCGAGCAACAAGUAGCUAAACUCACUUCCUUAUUGGAGCGAGUAAUGGUCGAAAAAGGGCAAUAAAAAACAUGUGGCCUUUGUUCAAUGGUAGGACACCCAACUGAUAUGUGCCCUACUAUGCCAGAAGAGCAAGUGAAUUCUAUUGGUGGUGGUCAGGGAUAGCAAAGACGUUAUGAUCCGUUCUCUCAUACUUAUAAUCUAGGGUGGAGAGAUCAUCCAAAUCUGAGAUAUGGUAAUGCUCAGCAGCAGGCAGGCAACUCUAACCUCAGACCACCAGCUUUCCAGCAACAACAAGCAUCUAAUCCUCACCUAGUUUUCAUCAGCAACCACAAUAUCAGCCGUGACCUCAAAAUCAGCAAGUUUCCCAGCCACAAUCUGGUAUCAUGUCUCUGGAAGAUAUUGUGAAGGCAAUGGCUGACAACACUUUGCAUUUUUAGCAAGAUACAAGAAGUGGUCUAAAGGACUUGGAGAACCAAGUUUCUCAGUUAGCUAACACGGUGGGAAAGCUCCAAGCUCAGAACUCUAAUAAGCUUCCGAGUCAACCAGAGAGAAAUCCAAAGGAGAACGCGAGUGCAAUCUCACUUAAAAGUGCUAAGCAAUUAGAGAUCCCAGCAAAAAAGACUGAAGAGCUGGCAGAACACCAAGAGGAACGGGAGACUAUUGUUCCAGAGCAAGAUAAGCAGCCCCCUAAGGUAAGCAAUGUUGUUUCUCCUAAUACUAAUCAAUCUUCUUCUUCUGUUCCAUUUCCUUAGCAGGUUAUCAUCUAAGAAUAAGAAGAAAGAGCAUGAAAAGGAGAAAGAGACCCUAGACAUUUUUCGCAAGGUUGAGGUGAACAUACCUCUACUGGAAGCUAUAAGACAUGUGUCGCGGUAUGCAAAGUUCUUGAAGGAGUUGUGCACUAAUAAGAGGAGAUUGAGUGGAGAUGAAAAAGUCGGUGUAAGUGAGAAUGUGUCUGCUGUUUUACAGAGGAAAGUUCUUCCAAAGUGCAAGGAUCCAGGUACCUAUAGCUCCGGAGGAUCAAGAGAAAACGACGUUCACAUGCCCGUACGGCACAUUUGCGUAUCGUUGUAGGCCAUUUGGACUGUGCAAUCUCCAGCGUCUUUUCAAAGAUGUAUGGUAAGCAUCUUUUCAGAUUAUCUUGAAAAUUUCAUAGAAGUUUUCAUGGAUGAUUUCACUAUGCAUGGAGAUUCUUUUGAUAGUUGCUUAGAACACCUCACUUUGGUUCUUAAACGUUGUCUCUAAACUAACCUUGUGCUUAAUUCUAAAAAAUGUCAUUUCAUGGUUGAACAAGUUAUAGUUUUAGGCCAUAUUGUGUCUUCUGAAGGAAUAAAAGUCGAUAAAGCUAAAAUAGAUCUUAUUUCUUCUCUGCCUUAUCAUGCCUCUGUGCUGGAAGUUCGUUCCUUUCUUGGCCAUGCAGGUUUCUAUCGAAGGUUUAUUGAAGGUUUUUCGAAGAUUGCACAACCUUUAUGCAGACUACUCUAAAAAGAUGUGGAGUUCCACUUUGGUGAGGCCUGUAAGCAAGAAUUUGACAAGCUGAAAGACAAGUUGGUCACUGCCCCUGUUCUACAACUUCCUAACUGGGAGCUCCCAUUCGAGCUGAUGUGCGACGCUUCUAAUUAUGUUGUAGGGGCAGUGCUAGGUCAGGGAGUUGAAAAAGUUCCCCAUGCCAUCUACUAUGCCUCGAGGACUUUAGAUGCGGCUCAAGCUAAUUAUACUACAACUGAGAAAGAACUUUUAGCUAUAGUUUUUACUUUAGACAAAUUCAGGUCUUAUUUAUUGGAUACUAAAAUUGUUGUAUUUACUGAUCAUGCAACGCUGAAAUAUUUAUGGUCAAAGGAUGUAUCCAAACCUAGGCUAAAACGUUAGAUUUUAUUGCUUCAAAAAUUCAAUGUUAAAAUAAAAGAUAAAAAAGGUUCUGACAAUAGUGUUGCUAAUCAUUUGAGUAGGUUAGUUAUUGAAGCUGAUGAAGAUAAAGUCCCAAUCAAUGAAGAGUUCCCCGAUGAGCAACUUCAUGCCUUGAACUCAGGAACUCCGUGGUAUGCUGAUUUGGUAAAUUUUCUAGUAUUUGGGAAGUUUCCAGCCAGCUACACCAAAGCACAAAAGGACCGGAUGCGAAGCAUAGCAAAAUACUAGAUAUGGGAUGACCCAUAUCUCUGGAAAUAUUAUGCUGAUCAACUGAUCAGAAGGUGCGUACCUGAUUCCGAAUUUCUUUCUAUACUAACUUUCUGCCAUUCUUAUGCAUGUGGGGGACAUUUUGGACCAAAGAGAACCGCACACAAGGUUUUAGAGAACGGAUUCUACUGGCCCUCUAUAUUCAAAGAUGCAUAUGAUAUAUGUAAGGCCUGUGAUAAAUGUCAAAGGACAGGUACAUUAGGUCCUAGGAAUGAAAUGCCCCAAACUCCUAUUUUAUUUUGUGAAAUUUUUGACGUUUGGGGCAUGGAUUUCAUGGGACCCUUCCCCUCUUCUUUCGGUUUUCAAUAUAUUUUGCUGGCUGUCGAUUAUGUCUCGAAAUGGGUGGAAGCUAUAGCCACCCGUACUGAUGGUUCUAAAGUAGUUGUAGAAUUUUUAAAAUCAAAUAUUUUUGCUAGAUAUGGAUUCCCAAGAGACAUCAUAAAUGACAAGGGGACACACUUUUGCAAUAAGACAAUAGGAGCUCUCUUGAAGAAGAUAAUGUGUUUCAUCGAGUGUCCACUGCGUAUCACACACAAACAAAUGGAUAGGCAGAAGUUUCCAAUUGAGAAAUCAAGUCCAUUCUAGAGAAGACUGUGAAUCCAAACGGGAAAGAUUGGAGUCUCCGCCUCAACGAUGCUCUGUGGGCGUACAGAACAGCGUAUAAAACACCGAUUGGGAUGUCUCCUUACAGGCUAGUGUUUGGCAAACCUUGUCACCUUCUAGUAGAAUUGGAACACAAAGCUUUUUGGGCUGUGAGGAGAUGGAUGCAGCAGGUGAGCAAAGGAAACUUCAGUUACAAGAGCUUGAGGAAAUCCGAAAUGAUGCUUUCGAGAAUGCGAGAAUUUACAAGGAGAAGACUAAGGCAUUCCAUGAUGAGCACAUAACACGAAAGACAUUUACAGUGGGGCAAAAAGUUCUCUUGUACCAUUCUCGGCUCAAACUUUUUCCUGGUAAACUUCGUUCUCGAUGGGUGGGGCCCUUUAUUAUUACCAAGGUGUAUGACCAUGGUGCGGUUGAGAUUCGUAGUGAGGAGACGGGGAAGGAAUUCAAGGUGAACGGUCAUCGACUAAAGCCGUACUAUGAGGGUUAUCAGGUCCAGAACAUUGAAGUGAUGGAGCUAGAAGCUCCACAUUAUGAAGACUAGUAUGCUGGAAAGACGUCGAGUUAACGACGAUAAAUAAAGCGCUCUUGGGAGGCAGCCCAAAUUUAGGAGUUUUUUUUUUUACUUUGUUUUCUCGUAAAAAUAAAUAAAAAAAAAAAAAAUUCAGCUCAGAUAUUUCGUUUGCUCCUAUUUUUAAGCCCCCUAUACUAUUCAGGAAACUAAUUCUGUUUUUAUUUUGUAUCAGUUGUUGGAGGACAGUGGGAUUGGCUGGACACAAUGGUGGAGUUAAAGCUACGCUGAUACAACACCUGCUUAUAUCCGAAAAUGUUUGCAACAAGAAAAUAUGAACAUAUUCAAGCUUGGGAUUUGUUGCAAUAUAUUCCUUAAACAUGUCACAACAACAUAGAACAAACAAAUUCAUGAAAACAAGUCGAAUCGAGUACCCCCUAAUUUAAAAAUUAGGGUUCUUCUUUCAAUUUUCCCCAUUUUGUUAACCAAAUUCAAAGUUUGGUACAAUAAACAAGGAGCACGAUUUACUAUCCUUAAGUUCAUACGACAACCAAAAAUGGAAAGAGACCGAAAAAGACGAAUGAAGAAGAAGGGCACGGUUGCAGAUCGUGUUCUUCCACAAUUGUUUGUUGUUUAACCAAAUUCAAAGUUUGGUACAAUAAACAAGGAGCAUGAUUUACUAUCCUUAAGUUCAUACGACAACCAAAAAUGGAAAGAGAUUGGAAAAGAGGAAUGAAGAAGAAGGGCAUGAGCUGCAAAUCGUGUUCUUCCACAAUAAUUCGUUGUUUAAGUUCUGUUCGCAACUCACAGAGUUGCGCGAGAAAGCUGUGCACAACAACCAAUGUUGAGAAAGAGACCGAAAAAGGCGAAUGAAG